UUUUUUCCCCCUCCGCUCCUGUUCAGGGAGAGCUUUCGCGUGGCGCCUGUGAGGUUUCUUCUUCUUCUUCUUCUCUCUCUCUCUCUCUCUCCUCUCUCGCGCUCUCCUGCGUGUGUAUGUGUGCGGUUGGUUGGUGGAUGCUGUAAUUUCGAGCAAUGAAAUCCAGAGCUCGGGGCUGUGGUCGGAAAGGGACCCCCGUCUCGUCACUCUCGGCCGGUUUGUGUGAUUUUGCUAAAAUGCAUCACCAACAGCGAAUGGCUGCCUUAGGGACGGACAAAGAACUGAGUGAUUUACUGGAUUUCAGUGCGAUGUUUUCACCUCCUGUCAGCAGUGGAAAGAAUGGACCAACUUCUUUGGCGAGUGGACACUUUAGUGGCUCAAAUGUAGAAGACAGAACUAGCUCAGGGUCCUGGGGGAACGGAGGACAUCCUAGCCCAUCCAGGAACUACGGAGAUGGACCUUCUUAUGAACAUAUGACAAACAGGGACCUUGGAUCACAUGACAAUCUAUCGCCUCCUUUUGUGAAUUCCAGAAUACAAAGUAAAACAGAUAGAAGCUCUUAUUCAUCAUAUGGACGAGACUCAAAUCUUCAAGGUUGCCAUCAGCAAAGUCUCCUUGGAGGUGACAUGGAAAUGGGCAACCCAGGAACACUUUCUCCUACCAAACCUGGUUCUCAGUACUAUCAGUAUUCUAGCAAUAAUCCACGAAGGAGGCCUCUGCACAGCACUUCUGUUGAAGUACAAACAAAGAAAGUUCGAAAAGUUCCUCCAGGUUUACCAUCUUCAGUUUAUGCCCCUUCUGCAAGCACUGCCGAUUACAAUCGGGAUUCGCCCGGCUAUCCAUCCUCAAAACCACCAGCCAGCACUUUUCCUAGUUCUUUCUUCAUGCAAGACGGCCACCAUAGCAGUGAUCCGUGGAACUCAUCCAGUGGAAUGAAUCCCCCUGGGUAUGGAGGCAUGUUGGCCAAUUCAUCUCAUCUUCCACAGUCCAGUAGCUAUUGCAGUCUUCAUCCUCACGACCGCUUGAGCUACCCAUCACACUCCUCAGCAGACAUCAAUUCCAGUCUUCCUCCAAUGUCCACUUUCCAUCGCAGUGCCACAACCCAUUACAGUGCUUCUUCCUGUACACCUCCAGCAAAUGGAACAGAAAGUAUAAUGGCAAACAGAGGAAGUGGAACUGCAGGAAGUUCACAGACAGGCGAUGCGCUGGGGAAAGCACUUGCAUCUAUUUACUCUCCAGAUCAUACCAACAACAGCUUUUCAUCAAAUCCUUCAACUCCUGUGGGUUCACCACCUUCUCUUUCAGCAGGAACAGCUGUUUGGUCUAGAAAUGGAGGGCAAGCAUCAUCAUCUCCCAAUUAUGAAGGUCCCUUACAUUCUUUGCAAAGCCGAAUUGAAGACCGCUUGGAAAGACUGGAUGAUGCUAUUCAUGUUCUCCGGAACCAUGCAGUGGGACCCUCAACUGCCAUGCCUGGUAGUCAUAGUGACCUCCAUAGCUUAAUAGGCUCUUCUCAUAAUGGAGCUAUGGGAGGCCUUGGAUCAGGAUAUGGGACAGGCCUUCUUUCAGCCAAUAGACAUUCACUAAUGGUUGGUGCUCAUCGUGAAGAUGCAGUUGGCCUCCGUGGCAGUCAUUCCCUUGUGCCAAACCAAGUUCCUGUUCCACAGCUGCCAGUGCAGUCUGCAACAUCUCCUGACUUAAACCAGCCUCCGGAUCCUUAUCGAGGCAUGCCAACUGGACUUCAAGGGCAAAGCAUAUCUUCAGGGAGCUCUGAAAUCAAAUCUGAUGACGAAGGAGAUGAGAACCUCCAGGACUCAAAAUCUUCCGAUGACAAGAAGUUAGACGAUGACAAGAAGGAUAUCAAAUCAAUUACUAGGUCAAGAUCUAGCAAUAAUGACGACGAAGAUCUUACUCCGGAGCAAAAAGCAGAGCGCGAGAAGGAAAGAAGAAUGGCCAACAAUGCCCGUGAGCGCCUGCGUGUCCGUGACAUCAACGAGGCUUUCAAAGAGCUGGGCCGGAUGGUGCAGCUCCAUCUAAAAAGCGACAAGCCCCAGACCAAACUUUUAAUCUUACAUCAAGCUGUAGCAGUUAUCCUCAGUUUAGAGCAGCAAGUCAGAGAAAGAAAUCUGAAUCCUAAAGCGGCGUGUUUGAAAAGAAGGGAAGAAGAGAAAGUAUCUUCGGAACCUCCUCCGCUUUCUUUGGCAGGACCCCACCCUGGGAUGGGAGACACAUCUAAUCAUAUGGGGCAGAUGUAAAAAAAGGAAAAAGGUCCAAGUUGCCACAUUUUCUUCACGUAAACCAGAGACCACUUCCUUAAAACAGCUGUAUUAUCUUAAAAACAUAUAAACACUUAACCCUUCUCCCCCCCGCCCUCCAUUUUUUUUGUAAUAUAAUAAGACAAGUCUGAGUAGUUACGAAUCACAGACGCAAGAGAUUUCAGCAUUCCUGAUUUUGAAAUAAAGGAGAAAAAAAAAGUGCAACUUGAGAGACAACUUCUUUUCAACAUAUCAUUCGGAAUGUUUCAAGCAGUAUGUUGACAGCUGUCAGUGCACAGCCAGGAGACUGAAUGGCAAUCUUCUCCACACUGUGGGACAAUGCAUUUGUGCCUAAACUUCUUUUGGAAAAAAAAAAUAUAAUUAAUUUGUAUCACCAGGAGUCACUGCCUAGGAAUGACCUAAUAGGUGGCGCUGUCAUCCACUCUCCCAACUUCAAAAGCAAUGGGUUUUAAAAGUGCCCUUGGUGUUCUCAGAAGUGCUCCAUUCCAGAUGAUGUGUAAAACUGAAGUUGUGAUCACCCGAGUUCCACUCAGAAUAUGAUUCCUUCUAGAGGCCUCUUCACUUUUUUCUUUUCUUUUUUUUUUUUUUUUGCACUGGGUAGUUGAUUAAAAAUCUACUUUCUGGACAUAACUGUAAAAGCACAUGUCCUUCUCAGCCUAAGCGGUUGUGUAACAUGGCUAUGCAUUGUAAUAUAGUUGUUGACCUGGCCCACCUUUGGCUUGAAAUUCAACGGGUGGAGCAAAUUGUUUGUAAUUCCUCUGUAAAGUUCGUUCUUUUUUCUUUUCCUGAAUGAAAGGUGCUACAUAACGUGUAAAAUUGCAUUCGUGACCAUCAAUUUCUGUAAAUACAGCACCUGUAUUUUAAUGGAAAACUGUUAAUGUACGUAUGAGACAAUUGAUUGCACCUGUGAGCAAUGGACAGACAUCAAGGUGCUAAGCUGUAUGCAAAAAAUAAACUGAACUGUUAGAAAAAAAAAAUAAGGAUUAAUCUAUUAAAUUCAAAGAUUUGGAGCAAUUAUAAAGUCACGCACAAGACUGCCGUCGAUCACCCUCUUUAAUACUUUUGUGUAUCAAUUGAGAUCGUUUUUGUAUUUUUAGGCAGAACUGUGACUCUCUUAUUACAGUAUUGCAGACUGAGCUGUACUAAGGGUUCAAGUGGACAGAUCACCUUAAUUUGUCCCCAUAUGAGAUAUUUGUUGAAGUUGUACAUUAUAAAUGCUGUUUGUAUUUAUAUCUUGUUGAAAAGAAAAGAAGUAAUAAAUU